UGUUCCCCGGAUAGGGUGGGGGCUGAAGAAACGGGGUGGGGGUAGGAAGGGAAUGGCGUGAGCAUCCGGGUUCCGCAGUGUCGGCCCCGCCCGAGGGAGGGGUGGGACGUCCUCAGAGGGCCCCAGGAGCAAGAAGGGGCGGGGAGAGGUGGGCUUGGGAAAGUCGGAGGGCAAACCUGUCUUCCGCCAUUUACUCAGGAGAGCCAAUUUGUCCACCUUGUAGGGUCCUUCCCGGCAGGAGAGCAAACGAUGAAUAAGAUUGAACAAUAUAACGGAAAAUACACCGUUCAAAGUCGCCAAACUAUUAAGAGGAAAAAUAGUUUAAUUUUAAGAGAAAAUUGAAGCUCAUGAUCUACAUACAGUUCCUGCUCCCUGCAGUGGUGUGGACCCAGAGAUCAAGCUUAGAAGAAGACCAGACCCUGAUUUCACACUUCUGAUAGGACGAGGAGUUUUGGGAAGAAUUUGCGCUGUUCCUUGCAUCUGGCAAGUUUGAGGUCAUGGGUAAUACCUAUGUGAAGAAGGAACUUGGAAAAGGAAUCCUUCAGGAACUUGGUGCUAUAGAACUGAACACACGAGAUUUCUCUAGAAAUGUAGAACAUGGAAUCAUCAACAUAAUAUUGGUAUUUGAAGCCAUGGGAGUAAAUGAGCUCAACAAAAUGCUGAGCAUAGACAGAAAAAUCAGGAAAGAGUCAAUGUCUUCAUAAACAUCCACAGGAUGAGAGAACGAAGAAAAUUCAGUAAAAGAAUGGUAAUAAUAGAGACAUAAAAGAGUGUAAACCAAAAACUGCAAUUUAACAUCUCCAACCAUCGUUAGAAUAAUUUGUCUUUUGUUAUUUCUUAAUUUUCAAUAAGCCAAAGGAUUUUAAGGUGAAAACAGUUAUCCAAGAUAAAGUCUAUAUCUGCCCUCAGUCAAGGUUUGGUAGUUAUUAAUAUUAAUUAUAACAAAUAUCAUGUAUUAAGCAUUCUCUAGGAACUAGGCACUAUGCUAAGCACUGCACAUGCACUAUCUCCUUGAAUCCUGGCAACUCUGAGGUAAGUAUUAAUAUUAACUUCAUGUUACAACUGAGGAAAGAGUUGCAGAGUACUUAGGUAACUUGCCCCAAACCACUGAUUAGCAAAUAGCCAAGACUGGAUUUGUACUUAUCUUCUGGGGCUUGGAUCCCAGUAUUUACUAACCAGGCUGUAUUGAUUUACAUUUGCAAAGGACAUCACAAUGUAUAGAACAUUUUCACAUUUAUUAUCUUAUUUAAA